rnacentral:rRNA from 1 species
AUUGAACGCUGGCGGCAUGCCUUACACAUGCAAGUCGAACGGUAACAGGUCUUCGGAUGCUGACGAGUGGCGAACGGGUGAGUAAUACAUCGAAACGUGCCCAGUCGUGGGGGAUAACGAAGCGAAAGCUUUGCUAAUACCGCAUACGAUCUACGGAUGAAAGCGGGGAUCGCAAGACCUCGCGCGAUUGGAGCGGCCGAGGGCAGAUUAGGUAGUUGGUGGGGUAAAGGCUUACCAAGCCUACGAUCUGUAGCUGGUCUGAGAGGACGACCAGCCACACUGGGACUGAGACACGGCCCAGACUCCUACGGGAGGCAGCAGUGGGGAAUUUUGGACAAUGGGCGCAAGCCUGAUCCAGCAAUGCCGCGUGCAGGAUGAAGGCCUUCGGGUUGUAAACUGCUUUUGUACGGAACGAAAAGCUCUGGGUUAAUACCCUGGGGUCAUGACGGUACCGUAAGAAUAAGCACCGGCUAACUACGUGCCAGCCGCCGCCGUAA